CGGGGCUUGCUCCCUGAAGAUUAGCGGCGGACGGGUGAGUACACGUGGGCAACCUGCCUAUAAGACUGGGAUAACUUCGGGAAACCGGAGCUAAUACCGGAUACGUUCUUUUCUCGCAUGAGAGAAGAUGGAAAGACGGUUUACGCUGUCACUUAUAGAUGGGCCCGCGGCGCAUUAGCUAGUUGGUGAGGUAUGGCUCACCAAGGCGACGAUGCGUAGCCGACCUGAGAGGGUGAUCGGCCACACUGGGACUGAGACACGGCCCAGACUCCUACGGGAGGCAGCAGUAGGGAAUCUUCCGCAAUGGACGAAAGUCUGACGGAGCAACGCCGCGUGAACGAAGAANGCCUUCGGGUCGUAAAGUUCUGUUGUUAGGGAAGAACAAGUACCAGAGUAACUGCUGGUACCUUGACGGUACCUACCCAGAAAGCCACGGCUAACUACGUGCCAGCAGCCGCGGUAAUACGUANGUGGCAAGCGUUGUCCGNAUUUUGGGGUGUAAAG
rnacentral:rRNA from 2 species